GUCCGAACAAAAAAAAUCAACGCCUAUUUCCGUUCUCGUUUCCAAAGUUGGGAGACAGGGAAAGAGUGUGAGAGAGAGAGAAUGGACGCCAUUGAUUCCGUCUUCGAUCCGCUCAGAGAAUUUGCAAAGGACAGCGUGAGGCUCGUCAAGCGUUGCCACAAACCCGAUCGCAAAGAAUUCUCCAAGGUUGCAGUGCGUACCGCAAUUGGUUUCGUGGUGAUGGGGUUUGUGGGGUUUUUCGUUAAGCUCAUUUUCAUUCCAAUUAACAACAUUAUCGUCGGAUCUGGUUAGGUGACUUUAUCAUCUUUGACUCUGUUAUGUUCUAUGUUUCUCUCGCUUACUUUGAAUGGUUAAGGGGAACUGCAAUUGCCUCAGGACUUCAAGUUAUCAAGAAAAUGGAGGCUGAAAAAUCCCCCAUGAAUAGAUAAUUAAUCUUUUGUUAUAUUUCAUUUUUGGUUUUUCCUUAUGACUGGAAAGCUAUGAACGUUUGUGCUUAUCUUCUGUUAUAUACCUUCACACAUUGUUUUGAUUUAGGAUAAGGAGGAAAAAGGAAUGGUGAAACUGUAGUUUUGUUUUUA